rnacentral:rRNA from 1 species
UACGUAGGGUGCAAGCGUUGUCCGGAAUUAUUGGGCGUAAAGAGCUCGUAGGCGGUUCGUCGCGUCGGCUGUGAAAUCCCGAGGCUCAACCUCGGGUCUGCAGUCGAUACGGGCGGACUGGAGUACUGCAGGGGAGACUGGAAUUCCUGGUGUAGCGGUGAAAUGCGCAGAUAUCAGGAGGAACACCGGUGGCGAAGGCGGCAUCCUGGACCAACACUGACGCUGAUGAGCGAAAGCCAGGGGAGCAAACGGG